AGGCACCGGCGAGAUUCGAACUCAUGUUCCUGUUUUACUAGACAGGGCGCUUUAACCAGCUAAGCCCGCGGCC